CCUACGGGAGGCAGCAGUGGGGAAUCUUGGUCAAUGGGCUUACGCCUGAACCAGCAAAGUCGCGUGAGGGAAGACUGCCCUAUGGGUUGUAAACCUCUUUUGUCAGGGAGCAAUUGGCGCUACGUGUAGCGUUAUCGAGAGUACCUGAAUAACAAGCAUCGGCUAACUCCGUGCCAGCAGCCGCGGUAAUACGGAGGAUGCGAGCGUUAUCCGGAUGUAUUGGGUUUAAAGGGUGCGUAGGCGGAAUGCCAAGUCAGCGGUAAAAGCGCGGGGCUCAACCUCGCUCCGCCGUUGAAACUGGCGUUCUUGAGUGGGCGAGAAGUAUGCGGAAUGCGGGGUGUAGCGGUGAAAUGCAUAGAUAUCACGCAGAACUCCGAUUGCGAAGGCAGCAUACCGGCGCCCAACUGACGCUGAAGCACGAAAGCGUGGGUAUCGAACAGGAUUAGAUACCCUGGUAGUC
rnacentral:rRNA from 1 species